GUCCGCGUAAGCCGGUGAAUAUUUCCUUCCGAUUGCGCAGCCGCAUAUUUGUAGAAAGAAGGAUUUAUCAAAUAAAAAGUUGUUGCGGCCUCGAGGCCCAGGACAGUGUCGAUGUUCGUGUACAUGGAGUCAACGUCGAUUGAAAAGAUAAACGUGUUAUCAGGGACGGACACGGUCAGGAAGUGACGGUGUCGGGAUAAAGAUGGCUCUGCAUUUCCUGCAUUGGAUGGCAUAUAAAACGUUGGUGGAAAGCAGCGAGAAGGUCUGCCAGAUGGGGGCGCCAGUUCGCAAGUUGAAGAUAUAUUUUAGAGAAGUUGGCCCGGUCGGAUGGAAAGAGGGCGGCUACUUCAUGCUUGAUGGUACGGAGAAAGC